UACAGAGGGUGCAAGCGUUGCUCGGAAUCACUGGGCGUAAAGCGCACGUAGGCGGAUUGCUAAGUCAGGGGUGAAGUCCUGGAGCUCAACUCCAGAACUGCCUUUGAUACUGGCGAUCUCGAGUCCGGGAGAGGUGAGUGGAACUGCGAGUGUAGAGGUGAAAUUCGUAGAUAUUCGCAAGAACACCAGUGGCGAAGGCGGCUCACUGGCCCGGUACUGACGCUGAGGUGCGAAAGCGUGGGGAGCAAACAGG
rnacentral:rRNA from 1 species